rnacentral:snRNA from 1 species
GUGUUUGUCUCAGCAGCAUAUAUGCUAAAACUGGAACAAUACACAUUCAGGUCAGCAUAGCUCCUGAGCAAGAAUGACAUGCAAAUUCAUGAAGUGUUCCAUAUUUUA